AAUUGGUAACCCUAAUUUCUCGCCUCCUUCCUACACUAGCACUAUUCUCUCGACUCUUCCUUCUACUUGUGAUCUCUUCAAUGACGAAUACGUCUGCUCCUUAGUAUUUCCUCUUUCUCUACACACUUUCAAUCUCUCUCUAAAGCCACAAUUUCAAUCUCUCUCUCAGGCUUUGCUGAAGAUCUGUGUUUGUUUUGGACCAGCUGCGCAGGGUUCAAAUCGGACUAUCAAGCUUUCCUCAACAUUUCUGCUUGUUUCAGACGACCUACGCAGGCUUCAAUAUCAAAUCAGGGCCCGCUUGAUUGGAUGACCACCGCUCUCCCGAUCUACUGCUGAACGUCACCGCCCUUCUCCCGAUCUACAGCUGAAGGUAUUCUGUUGACUUACAGAAGCUGAUAACGUAACCUAAUUAUUAUCCACCUGCGAAUAUUCAACUUAUUAGAGACUGCGCUGCACACAUAGGUAAAAGCAAAAUCAUUUUCCAUACUUUCAACGAACCUUCUCAAACUGAACAUAGACCAACUGCCUUUUUAAAAACAUUUGAUGAUGUCUAUUGUUUGGUGCAAAAAUAUAUUAUAGCAGAUGAAAUUAUUCCAUCGUUGGUACUUACUGUGUCUCAAUAGUCACUAUGGUUGACGGGAUGGAAAUGUAUUACUUGCUCUGCAUUCUUGCUCUUAUGUUAGCUGCUUCAAUUCAUGCUAUCAAUACGUUAGACUAUCUCCAUGGAAUUGUUCUGUUCGGUCAUUCACAUUAUGGGAGGAAUACCACCUCCAAUUUCCUGCUUAAACAUGCUGUCAUUUGUCACAUAUGUUCUAU